rnacentral:misc_RNA from 1 species
GUGGGAGGGGGCUUGCCCCCGAUAGCUGAGUGUCAGUCAGUAUAUUAUCAACUGACACGCCGCUAUCGGGGGCAAGCCCCCUCCCAC